rnacentral:lncRNA from 1 species
ACACGUUCCAUGGUGAAUCUAUUUCAUUUAAGGUAAAAUAUUCUUUUUGGUCCUUUAACUUUACCUCAGGGUCCAUUUUGGUCCCUCAAUUUUAAAAAUUUCCAAGUUGAUCCUUUAAUUUUCCAAACAUCGUCAUAAAAGUCAUUUCCGUCUAUUUUGCUCAAACGGUGUUUGCUUAUGCACGCAUUGCAGAGUUGGCAAUGAACAAUCAUCUUCAUCAUCG